UGGGGAAUUUUGGACAAUGGGCGAAAGCCUGAUCCAGCAAUGCCGCGUGUGUGAAGAAGGCCUUCGGGUUGUAAAGCACUUUUGUCCGGAAAGAAAUCCUUGGCUCUAAUACAGUCGGGGGAUGACGGUACCGGAAGAAUAAGCACCGGCUAACUACGUGCCAGCAGCCGCGGUAAUACGUAGGGUGCAAGCGUUAAUCGGAAUUACUGGGCGUAAAGCGUGCGCAGGCGGUUUGCUAAGACCGAUGUGAAAUCCCCGGGCUCAACCUGGGAACUGCAUUGGUGACUGGCAGGCUAGAGUAUGGCAGAGGGGGGUUAGAAUUCCACGUGUAGCAGUGAAAUGCGUAGAGAUGUGGAGGAAUACCGAUGGCGAAGGCAGCCCCCUGGGCCAAUACUGACGCUCAUGCACGAAAGCGUGGGGAGCAAACAGGAUUAGAUACCCUGGUAGUCCACGCCCUAAACGAUGUCAACUAGUUGUUGGGGAUUCAUUUCCUUAGUAACGUAGCUAACGCGUGAAGUUGACCGCCUGGGGAGUACGGUCGCAAGAUUAAAACUUAAAGGAAUUGACGGGGUCAUAGCUGUUUCCU
rnacentral:rRNA from 1 species